CGGCAGGCCUAACACAUGCAAGUCGAACGGUAGCACAGAGGAGCUUGCUCCUUGGGUGACGAGUGGCGGACCGGGGAGUAGUGUAUGGGAAACUGCCCGAUGGAGGGGGAUAACUACUGGAAACGGUAGCUAAUACCGCAUAACGUCGCAAGACCAAAGAGGGGGACCUUCGGGCCUCUUGCCAUCGGAUGUGCCCAGAUGGGAUUAGCUAGUAGGUGGGGUAACGGCUCACCUAGGCGACGAUCCCUAGCUGGUCUGAGAGGAUGACCAGCCACACUGGAACUGAGACACGGUCCAGACUCCUACGGGAGGCAGCAGUGGGGAAUAUUGCACAAUGGGCGCAAGCCUGAUGCAGCCAUGCCGCGUGUAUGAAGAAGGCCUUCGGGUUGUAAAGUACUUUCAGCGAGGAGGAAGGCGUUGUGGUUAAUAACCGCAGCGAUUGACGUUACUCGCAGAAGAAGCACCGGCUAACUCCGUGCCAGCAGCCGCGGUAAUACGGAGGGUGCAAGCGUUAAUCGGAAUUACUGGGCGUAAAGCGCACGCAGGCGGUCUGUCAAGUCGGAUGUGAAAUCCCCGGGCUCAACCUGGGAACUGCAUCCGAAACUGGCAGGCUAGAGUCUUGUAGAGGGGGGUAGAAUUCCAGGUGUAGCGGUGAAAUGCGUAGAGAUCUGGAGGAAUACCGGUGGCGAAGGCGGCCCCCUGGACAAAGACUGACGCUCAGGUGCGAAAGCGUGGGGGGCAAACAGGAUUAGAUACCCUGGUAGUCCACGCCGUAAACGAUGUCGACUUGGAGGUUGUGCCCUUGAGGCGUGGCUUCCGGAGCUAACGCGUUAAGUCGACCGCCUGGGGAGUACGGCCGCAAGGUUAAAACUCAAAUGAAUUGACGGG
rnacentral:rRNA from 1 species